rnacentral:rRNA from 1 species
GCUUACGGCAUACUUGGAUGGGAGACCGCCUGGGAAUACCAGGUGCUGUAAGCAU